rnacentral:rRNA from 1 species
CGCGAAGAACCUUACCUGGUCUUGACAUCCACAGAACUUGGCAGAGAUGCCUUGGUGCCUUCGGGAACUGUGAGACAGGUGCUGCAUGGCUGUCGUCAGCUCGUGUUGUGAAAUGUUGGGUUAAGUCCCGCAACGAGCGCAACCCUUAUCCUUUGUUGCCAGCGGUCCGGCCGGGAACUCAAAGGAGACUGCCAGUGAUAAACUGGAGGAAGGUGGGGAUGACGUCAAGUCAUCAUGGCCCUUACGACCAGGGCUACACACGUGCUACAAUGGCGCAUACAAAGAGAAGCGACCUCGCGAGAGCAAGCGGACCUCAUAAAGUGCGUCGUAGUCCGGAUUGGAGUCUGCAACUCGACUCCAUGAAGUCGGAAUCGCUAGUAAUCGUGGAUCAGAAUGCCACGGUGAAUACGUUCCCGGGCCUUGUACACACCGCCCGUCACACCAUGGGAGUGGGUUGCAAAAGAAGUAGGUAGCUAACCUUCGGGAGGCGCUACCA